AGUGAACGCUGGCGGUAGGCCUAACACAUGCAAGUCGAGCGGCAGCACAGUAAGAGCUUGCUCUUACGGGUGGCGAGUGGCGGACGGGUGAGGAAUACAUCGGAAUCUACUUUUUCGUGGGGGAUAACGUAGGGAAACUUACGCUAAUACCGCAUACGACCUACGGGUGAAAGCAGGGGAUCUUCGGACCUUGCGCGAUUGAAUGAGCCGAUGUCGGGUUAGCUAGUUGGCGGGGUAAAGGCCCACCAAGGCGACGAUCCGUAGCUGGUCUGAGAGGAUGAUCAGCCACACUGGAACUGAGACACGGUCCAGACUCCUACGGGAGGCAGCAGUGGGGAAUAUUGGACAAUGGGCGCAAGCCUGAUCCAGCCAUACCGCGUGGGUGAAGAAGGCCUUCGGGUUGUAAAGCCCUUUUGUUGGGAAAGAAAGGCAGCAGGUUAAUACCCCGCUGUUCUGACGGUACCCAAAGAAUAAGCACCGGCUAACUUCGUG
rnacentral:rRNA from 1 species